rnacentral:rRNA from 1 species
CCCGGUGGCCAUAGCGGAGGGGAAACACCCGUUCCCAUUUCGAACACGGCAGUUAAGCCCUCCAGCGCCCAUGGUACUGCGGGGGCGACCCCGUGGGAGAGUAGGUCACUGCCGGGA